rnacentral:tRNA from 1 species
GAGGGUAGAGCUCAGUGGUAGAGCAUGUGCUUAGCAUGCAGGAGGUCCUGGGUUCAAUCCCCAGUACUUCCA